rnacentral:lncRNA from 1 species
AUUCUUAAAAUACAUGUUCCUAAUAAAAUUUAUAAAAAUGUAUCGUUUAGUCUGUAAAUAUAAUUUUAAUAGAAUCUCCUCGGAGUGGCUUUGGUCUGAAAACUAUUUAUUUGAUUUAGGCAAUACUUAAAAAAUAUUAAUUAUCUAUUUAGUACUGGCACUUUAAAAAGUUCAAACUCUCUCUGACACGGUUCCCUAUGCAGACUGUGUGGAAUGUCCCUGGCCGUGCUUCCGGCGUAAGUCCUGCGGCGUUUGCUUCUGGUGAAC